rnacentral:tRNA from 1 species
AUUUCCAUAGUGUAGUGGUUAUCACCUUUGCCUUACACGCAAAAGGUCCCUGGUUUCAGAUGGGGUGGAAACA